rnacentral:rRNA from 1 species
UACGUAGGGGGCUAGCGUUGUCCGGAUUUAUUGGGCGUAAAGAGCGUGUAGGCGGCCAGGUAGGUCCGUUGUGAAAACUCGAGGCUCAACCUCGAGACGCCGAUGGAAACCAUCAGACUAGAGUCCGGAAGAGGAGAGUGGAAUUCCUGGUGUAGCGGUGAAAUGCGCAGAUAUCAGGAAGAACACCCGUGGCUAAGGCGGCUCUCUAGUACGGUACUGACGCUGAGACGCGAAAGCGUGGGGAGCGAACAGG